CCGGGCUCAACCUGGGAACUGCAUCUGAUACUGGCAAGCUUGAGUCUCGUAGAGGGGGGUAGAAUUCCAGGUGUAGCGGUGAAAUGCGUAGAGAUCUGGAGGAAUACCGGUGGCGAAGGCGGCCCCCUGGACGAAGACUGACGCUCAGGUGCGAAAGCGUGGGGAGCAAACAGGAUUAGAUACCCUGGUAGUCCACGCCGUAAACGAUGUCGACUUGGAGGUUGUGCCCUUGAGGCGUGGCUUCCGGAGCUAACGCGUUAAGUCGACCGCCUGGGGAGUACGGCCGCAAGGUUAAAACUCAAAUGAAUUGACGGGGGCCCGCACAAGCGGUGGAGCAUGUGGUUUAAUUCGAUGCAACGCGAAGAACCUUACCUGGUCUUGACAUCCACGGAAGUUUUCAGAGAUGAGAAUGUGCCUUCGGGAACCGUGAGACAGGUGCUGCAUGGCUGUCGUCAGCUCGUGUUGUGAAAUGUUGGGUUAAGUCCCGCAACGAGCGCAACCCUUAUCCUUUGUUGCCAGCGGUCCGGCCGGGAACUCAAAGGAGACUGCCAGUGAUAAAUUGGAGGAAGGUGGGGAUGACGUCAAGUCAUCAUGGCCCUUACGACCAGGGCUACACACGUGCUACAAUGGCGCAUACAAAGAGAAGCGACCUCGCGAGAGCAAGCGGACCUCAUAAAGUGCGUCGUAGUCCGGAUUGGAGUCUGCAACUCGACUCCAUGAAGUCGGAAUCGCUAGUAAUCGUGGAUCAGAAUGCCACGGUGAAUACGUUCCCGGGCCUUGUACACACCGCCCGUCACACCAUGGGAGUGGGUUGCAAAAGAAGUAGGUAGCUUAACCUUCGGGAGGGCGCUUACCACUUUGUGAUUCAUGACUGGGGUGAAGUCGUAACAAGGUAACCGUAGGGGAACCUGCGGUUGGAUCACCUCCUUACCUUAAAGAAGC
rnacentral:rRNA from 1 species